rnacentral:rRNA from 1 species
GAGGGAGGUUCCAAGCGUUGUUCGGAUUGACUGGGCGUAAAGGGAGCGCAGGCGGUUGAGUAAGUCUAAAGUGGAAGCCUGGAGCUUAACUCCAGAAGUGCUUUAGAUACUGCUCGGCUUGAGUAUGCCAGAGGAAAGCGGAAUUUCCGGUGUAGCGGUGAAAUGCGUAGAUAUCGGGAAGAACACCUGAGGCGAAAGCGCGCAACUGGGCCCUAACUGACGCUGAGGUACGAAAGCUAGGGGAGCGAAUGGG